GAAGUGUACAGAAGAAGAAGAGAAUUUGAUCUACCAGACUGCUGCGCAUAUUUUCUAGACAAUAUUCAAAGGGUGACCAGCCAGGAUUAUUUACCGACAGAUCAAGAUAUUCUUCAAAUCAGAGUGAUGACAACUGGUGUAGUGGAAUACGCUUUCAAAACUAGUUCAAAAGAGAUUAUAAUGAUAGAUGUUGGAGGUCAAAGGUCGGAGAGGAAGAAAUGGAUUCAUUGUUUCGAGGACGUUCUUCUUCUCAUGUUCCUAUGUGCUGCAAGCGAAUACGAUCAGGUUACAGAUAUUUCAACGCUU